UAACGCGUGGAUAACCUGCCGUAUACAGGGGGAUAACACUUAGAAAUAGGUGCUAAUACCGCAUAAGCGCACGGUUCCGCAUGGAACAGUGUGAAAAACUCCGGUGGUAUACGAUGGAUCCGCGUCUGAUUAGCCAGUUGGCGGGGUAACGGCCCACCAAAGCAACGAUCAGUAGCCGGCCUGAGAGGGUGAACGGCCACAUUGGGACUGAGACACGGCCCAAACUCCUACGGGAGGCAGCAGUGGGGAAUAUUGCACAAUGGGGGAAACCCUGAUGCAGCGACGCCGCGUGAGUGAAGAAGUAUUUCGGUACGUAAAGCUCUAUCAGCAGGGAAGAAAAUGACGGUACCUGACUAAGAAGCCCCGGCUAACUACGUGCCAGCAGCCGCGGUAAUACGUAGGGGGCAAGCGUUAUCCGGAUUUACUGGGUGUAAAGGGAGCGUAGACGGCAGCGCAAGUCUGGAGUGAAAUGCCGGGGCCCAACCCCGGAACUGCUUUGGAAACUGUGCAGCUCGAGUGCAGGAGAGGUAAGCGGAAUUCCUAGUGUAGCGGUGAAAUGCGUAGAUAUUAGGAGGAACACCAGUGGCGAAGGCGGCUUACUGGACUGUAACUGACGUUGAGGCUCGAAAGCGUGGGGAGCAAACAGGAUUAGAUACCCUGGUAGUCCACGCCGUAAACGAUGAGUACUAGCUGU
rnacentral:rRNA from 1 species